GGCACGCGCUUCUCCUCCUCUCUACCACUGGAGAAUUAAUGGGCGCAAAGCGCGCCCGCGCUGCCACUUAAGCUAACGUUCAGUGUUAAGAACACGUGGUGGCGUAAAAUAACCCAGGAUGUGGUCAUUAACGUAGUGUUUUGGCAGGUUUGUCUUGCAUCCUUAAUCGCAUCCAAUGGAUUGGAUCAUAAGAGAAAUCUCCAUCUGUUGUUAGGUUCUGGUGAACCUGUCUACCAGCUGCUGAGGCCUGCAGUCGACAGGAGCACUGUGAAGCUGGAGGUGAACCACAACAACAUGCAUCAGCAGCAGAAAAUUGGACAACUAGAUAAAAAUAAUUGGUUCAAGGAAAAGGUUGAAGGAGAAGACCUAAUCACCACAUCACGCCUGCUGUCUUCUCUCUGCUUACGCUGAAGGCGGGGGAAGCAUCAAGUGCCUGUAUAAUUGCCAGUCAGGGACAAGUAGAGUGCUGUGGCGAAGGCUCGUUGAAUGUAAGACAAGGGAAACACUAUCAAAGAGACUGGAACAGAUCUAACACAAGUGCAGGAACUCAGGCUGAUUUACUGAUGAGAAUGGAAUAUCAGGUUUGUUUGUUUUUUACAUUAUCACACAUACUGACAGUGACGACUCGUGAAUGUAAAACAUUACAAAGAUGUAAGUAUGUUUUAGUGUUAAAUUUGCAGAAAACAGUAGAUGUGUAGCUUAAUUGUC